rnacentral:lncRNA from 1 species
GACUUGAACAUCGCUUCCUCAAAAUCAAACAUAGGUAAUAAUUAAAAGGAUAAUUGCCUAUAUACCCCUCAAAACUUCAGAAAUAUCUCAUUUAUCCCUACCUUUUUUUUUCUUUCCAAUAUACGCCUCAUAUGUUCCUCCGUUAUUCCAAAAUAUCCCUAUAGUUACCACCCGUUAAGUUAACUCGGAUUAAACGUGAGUUAAAUAUCGAUCACAAUUAAAAAAAAUUUAAAAUACUAAUAUUUUCCUUAACUUAAGGGCAAAUAAAAAAUAUUGGUGACGGUAGAGAUAUUUGAAAAGACCAAAAGUCAAAAUACUUUUUGUGCCCCUAACUUAAGAGCAAAUAAGAAAAGUCGGUGAUGGUAGAAGGAUAUAUUUGAAAGGGCAAAUAGUAAUUUUAUACAGAUAAUAGAGUUCAUUAACAGAUUUUAACUCUAGGGGUAUAUUUGAAAUAGGUUGGAACGUAAAAAGGAUAUUUUCAAUAUAAGCCUUCUGUUGGAAGCCGAAUUUUCCGACCCUUG